rnacentral:rRNA from 1 species
CCUACGGGGUGCAGCAGUGGGGAAUAUUGGACAAUGGGCGAAAGCCUGAUCCAGCCAUGCCGCGUGUGUGAAGAAGGCCUUCGGGUUGUAAAGCACUUUCAGUGGGGAAGAAAGCCUUGGGGCUAAUACCCUCGAGGAAGGACAUCACCCACAGAAGAAGCACCGGCUAACUCCGUGCCAGCAGCCGCGGUAAUACGGAGGGUGCGAGCGUUAAUCGGAAUUACUGGGCGUAAAGCGCGCGUAGGCGGUCUGAUAAGCCGGUUGUGAAAGCCCCGGGCUCAACCUGGGAACGGCAUCCGGAACUGUCAGGCUAGAGUGCAGGAGAGGAAGGUAGAAUUCCCGGUGUAGCGGUGAAAUGCGUAGAGCUCGGGAGGAAUACCAGUGGCGACGGCGGCCUUCUGGACUGACACUGACGCUGAGGUGCGAAAGCGUGGGUAGCAAACAGGAUUAGAUACCCGUGUAGUC